rnacentral:lncRNA from 1 species
AUGCAUUAUCUUGGUGGUCAUUACUUUUUGUUUUCUUUAUUUUUGGCUGACUCCUCUUCCUGUUCUAUUGAUCAAAAGAAAGGUUCUAGUUCAUACGAACGUCUGUUACGUGCGUACCUAGGACUGGGCCGGAUUCGAACCGACCAAGAAAAGGCAAGUGCCAUUCUUAUAGGCCAAAGAAAGACAGUCCAAUCAUCUAUGUCGAAGGGGCAGGUACGUAGUCACUCGAGCGAAGCGACAGCUUAUAUCAUAUAA